GCGGUGGCCGAGGCGGUUCCCGAUGCAAUGUCCGAUGCCGAGGCGGUGCCCGAGGCGGUUCCCGAGGCCGAGGCGGUGGCCGAGGCGGUGCCCGAGGCCGAGGCGGUGCCCGAUGCCGUGCCAGAGAUGGUGCCAGAGAUGGUUCCCGAUGUAAUGCCCGAGACCGAGGCUGUUCCGGAGGUCGAGGCGGUGCCCGAUGUUGUUCCCGAUGCCGAGGCGGUGACCGAUACCGUUCCCGAGGCGGUGCCCGAUGCCGAGGUCGUUCCCGAGGCGGUGUCCUUGUCCGAUGCCGUUCCUGAGGCCAUUCCCGAGGCGGUGCCCGAUGCCGAGGUCGUUCCCGAGGCGGUGUCCUUGUCCGAUGCCAUUCCCGAGGCCGUUCCUGAGACCGUUCCCGAGGCGGUGCCCGAUGCCGAGGUCGUUCCCGAGGCGGUGUCCUUGUCCGAUGCCAUUCCCGAGGCGGUGCCCGAUGCUGUUCCGGAGGCCGAUGCGCGGCCCGAGAUGGUUCCGGAGGCGAUACCCGUGUCCAAGGCCGUUCCCGAGGCGGUGCCCUUGUCUGAGGCCGUUCCCGAUGCCGUUCCCAAUGCCGUGACCGGGCCAUCGCCACAGCCUGCUCCUUACUGGCUCCCCGAUUGGCUGGUUCCGUUCGGGUCACUCAAAUGGCGAAUUCCUCCCUGGCCGUCUGCACAACGAGAAUGGACUGAUCCACCGUGGCCACCUGAACUGCCUGGCCCCUCGUGGUCCCCUGAACUUUCGGGUCCACCGUGGCCACCUGAACUGCCUGGUCCCUCGUGGUCCCCUGAACUUUCGGGCCCACCAUGGCCCCCUGAUCUGACCGAGCCACCUGGGCUACCAGGGGAGCCAUCGCUGCCGGUCCCAGUUCCCCUACACGGGCCUGGCCCGCCAUCCCUCCCCCUGUUCUGCCUCCACCAGUCCACCUCCCUCCUGGUC
ensembl:lncRNA